rnacentral:rRNA from 1 species
GAUGAACGCUGGCGGCGUGCCUAAUACAUGCAAGUCGAGCGAACAGACGAGGAGCUUGCUCCUCUGACGUUAGCGGCGGACGGGUGAGUAACACGUGGAUAACCUACCUAUAAGACUGGGAUAACUUCGGGAAACCGGAGCUAAUACCGGAUAAUAUAUUGAACCGCAUGGUUCAAUAGUGAAAGACGGUUUUGCUGUCACUUAUAGAUGGAUCCGCGCCGCAUUAGCUAGUUGGUAAGGUAACGGCUUACCAAGGCAACGAUGCGUAGCCGACCUGAGAGGGUGAUAGGCCACACGGGAACUGGGACACGGUCCAGACGCCUACGGGAGGCAGCAGUAGGGAAUCUUCCGCAAUGGGCGGAAGCCUGACGGAGCAACGCCGCGUGAGUGAUGAAGGUCUUCGGAUCGUAAAACUCUGUUAUUAGGGAAGAACAAAUGUGUAAGUAACUAUGCACGUCUUGACGGUACCUAGUCAGAAAGCCACGGCUAACUACGUG